ensembl:lncRNA
AUGUCCUUUUGUAAAUGUCAGGGAACAAUGAGAUGUAGACCGAACUUCUUUAAGAAGAAAUGCCCCGAUAAUGGGAUAUUUGGGGAAAUUAGGGAUCUUGACCCUGAUUCAACAGAUAUGCAUCUCAGCAGACAUUCUAUGAGGGCUGAGUCAUCCGUUCAAGUACCUCCUAUUCAAAACAUUUUAGACUUGCACAGCUUGUCUUAUAUUUCAGUUUACAUUCGUGUUCGUCAGUUUAUCCACAAGAUCAAGACAGAAAGAAAGCAAGCACAACAGGAAGAGGGCCUGAGAAACACAUCUGAGGUCUCUGAGGUCAGCAUGCAGAAUCUGUUUUGCAAUCAGAAGUGGAGUGGCAAGAAAGUUUAACCAGCAGUGGAGCAGCAGUUCCUGUGGAUUUCCAGCGUUUUUCUGGCUCUCCACUAAGCCGAUUAAAACUUUCUCAAUGACGCCAAAAAGGGCCCCCAUGAUUGGAUAUCCCCAAAGGAGGUAAAACAAAACUAGAAUCAAGUGUGGAGUUUCUAAAAAUCAGACCCUAAUACUAAUAGCAGCAAUUGUUUUCUAGGUUCAUUUAAACAGUCCCUCAAUGAAAGUGUGUGUUAGUUGCUCAGUCGUGUCCAACUCUUUGCCACUCCAUGCACUGUAGCCCUCCAGGCUCCUGCUGCUGCUGCUAAGUUGCUUCAGUUGUGUCCAACUCUGCGCGACCCCAUAGACGGCAGCCCACCAGGCUCCGCCGUCCCUGGGAUUCUCCAGGCAAGAACACUGGAGUGGGUUGCCGUUUCCUUCUCCAGACCUUUUAAACAUCUAUGCCACUAGAUGGCACUAUAUAGACACCUUCAUUUUCACUUUUCCCAUCUCAACGAAAUCGGAAGGAGGCAAAAUAUUAAGUAAGGGCAUCCAUUCAGUCCUUGAAAUUGCUAUCGUUUAUUAAUUUAACUAAAUCUUUAAAUCAUAAGCCUAAACACCUUAUAACCAAUUUGCCAAUAGUUUAAUUCUCUAACAGCAAGUACAGUUCCAUUGAUGAGAGAUUGGCUCAAAAGCAGCUUUAGAUGUGUUAUUUGGCAGCUAGGAAACUGAAUAAUAAGAAGGUCAGAAAAUUGAUAAUACGUGAGAGGGCAUAUAGGAAAAAAGAAAUACAUUUACAAGAAAUUGUCUAAUCUUGACUUCUCUUUGGUUUCCAUUAAAACUCCCAGUGCCUCAGAAGAUUGUCAGGGUAAUGUUCCAUCAGUAGUGCUGUAAUGUAUUCUUUUGUUAGACCAUGAGGAUUGGAGACGAAAAGGCCCAUGCUAGCUAGCAGGAGACACAGGAAGAGAUUAUGUAUGCAAAUCAUUCCAUUGCUCUCUACCGAGAGAAGGUUUGUCUUGUAAUAUUUCUUUUAAGUUGCACAGAGAAAUCUUUGGUUGUUUGCCAAAAAGCAGAAUUGGGAGGUUAAAAAGAAGGGGAAAAAAGGAAGAGACAAUUUGAAAGGAGCAUGCAAAGCUGUGAUGAACAGUCAAAAGAUGUGUGAUAACUGCAGUGUCUGUGAUUUCUUUCUUUUUUUUUUUUUUAGGAGCUGAGAAUGGAGAGGAUCUAGGGGUGGGUGAGGAAUGCAAAGCAGUUUGGAGAAGCAAGGUUAAGUGUAUUCAGGCCUGGGGAAUUGAGGACAUCUGGCCAGAUACAGACCAAAAGUAACCUGGGAGACUAGACUGGCAGUGGACAGGCAUAACCCAGGUCACCUGCCUUCCUAACCCGGGAUGGCUACUUCUUGAUCCCCUUUCCCAGGAGCAGACAGCCACAUUCCACAGAGUGGAGGUGCCAGAUGCUGCUUCUUUGCCCAAAAAAGACAAGUGGAAACUGAGACAGAAUUUUAAAGACAUCAAAGAGCCUGAGUGAAUUAUGGCAUCCCUGGAGCUGGCUGCUCUACUGGUCCAGUAAGGUCAGGCAGGAUGAAGAUGCAGGAGUUGGAAGACUGGUAGGGAUGGGAGUAGGGGGUGAUAGAGAGCUGGUUUGAAUGAGCUUUCUUCUUCCUCUAGGAUAGAGUCAGUAAACUUGGUAUUCUUUGUACUUGAGCUUACAAACAUUGGCUGCUCUCUGAAAAGGUCACCCUGCUAUUCAGGCAGAAUUUGUGACUCUCAGCAGCUGGGAAUACCUUGGAACCAAAGAGAACCCAUUAGGAGGGCGGGGUGGGGGGGGGAAACCUGAACUCAAUCACUAAGCCAAAAUAUGGGGGAAAAGAUUAACCUCUAAAAGUUUUUUUCUUUAAUUACAACAACAACACAGCAUUUCUCUUUGAUUCAUAACCUUAAUAAAUUCUGCUUAUCAUUUGCA